CCCUUGACUCCAUUUUUUUUUUUUUUAAGAUUUUAUUUAUUUAUCAGAGAGAGAGUGGGAGAGAGCGAGCACAGGCAGACAGAAUGGUAGGCAGAGGCAGAGGGAGAAGCAGGCUCCCUGCUGAGCAAGGAGCCCGAUGUAGGACUCGAUCCCAGGACGCUGGGAUCAUGACCUGAGCCGAAGGCAGCCGCUCAACCAACUGAGCCACCCAGGCGUCCCACCUUGACUCCAUUUUUAAAUCUUGCAUAGUUCUUUCCUUUUAUCCAACAGGGCCCAUUAUCACCUCCUCAGAGAAGCCUGCCCUGACUCUCUAUGCAGACUAGCCUCCUGGGAUCUCUGUUUAUUACUUUUUUUCAUAGCAUUUAUCAGCAACUGGAAGGAUAUUAUCUCUGUGUUUAUUGUUCAGCUCCUGCACCCGAAUGACAGCUCCACAAAGGCUGGGACCUGGUCUGUCUCAUUCAUCAGUUUACCCCCUGGGUCUAAAAUAGAGCUUGGCACAUUGCAGUUACUCAACAAAUAUUGGUGAAGAGGAAUCACCUCCUGAAUAAAUCUCGGGGGCUACUCCUGGAGAACCACUCCAAGAUGAAGGCGGCCAUGGGCCUCCUUGAAGCUUACCUGACAGCCUGCCUCUUCCUCCCAGCUUUCCUCAGACGGUGCCUGCCUCCCCUUCUCUGGCUCUGGAGCCUCCAGCUCUCAUCAAGCAGCAGGGGAAGACAGUAUGCUCAGUGUCCUCUCCUACGGUUCUCUCUGCUUCUGUGGGUCUUACCUCUCAUGCCGGGAGCCGAGGAGUCAUUCAUUCACCCUUCCGCGUAAUCCCUAGGAAAUCAACCUGUCUUCCAGCAGCCUAACCUGGGACCCGAAGCUGUUGCUGACCUGUUCCCACUUGCGCCCGAGCCAACAUGGCCUGGGUCAGUUUGAUCCCAUGGAAAGCUCAGAAAGUUCAUUCAAAAUCAGCAAAAAUAAAAUUUAAUAGUGAGCCACA